UAAAAUUCCUCUUUUUUUUUUCAAGCUAAAGGAGGACUCGGGUUGAAGGAAUUUGUGGUUAUUGAGCACAUUAAGGGAUGGGCAUGAUGGAGAUAAUUCAAAACAAAGCACUGCUGAUAUGACUGUGUUUGUCCAGAAUCUUCUUCAGCAAAUGCAAACCAGAUUUCAGACAAUGUCUGAAUCAGUUAUCUCAAAAAAUAUCCUUUCUUUAAUUUGAUGUUCCCUAUCUGAUUCAAUAGUUGCUAACUUUAGUGUCAUAUAAAAUGCAUUUACUUAUAUGUAGCAUUUAAUAGAACUCUGAAUUCAAGAAUGUGUAUACUGCGCUCUUGGUUCUGAGGCUCUUGAGUGGCUCAUCGUUUACUGUUUCAAUUUUGUCUUUAUAUUGUAAAUGGCGUCUACCUCUCUAUUAUUAGAUCAAGCUUGAACAAAGUAUGUUUAGUCCUUGACAAAGCUGCACUUGACGAGAUGGGAAACCGGAUUGAUGAACUUGAACAGAGCAUCAAUGAUUUGAGAGGUGAAAUGGGUCAAGAUGGUGCUCCAUCACCUUCAGCAUCUUUGAAACCGAAAGAGGAACCGAAGACAACGGAUGAUAGUGCAUAAGCAAAUGAUGAUACUUCAAGUUGGCUUUGGAGCCAAUUGGCCAUGUUUGUUACAAUUGCUUAGCUUUGAAAGUCUUGUCCCAUUAUGUCUAUUAUGAAAUUUGGUUUGUAAUAUGAUACAUAUACUAUGUACAUGGUGUCUUGGGUUGAAUGAUUUUGACCUCCGCAGGUAGAAUGAUUUUGACCUGUGUUAUUGGUCAUUGUUGAGGUUAUCAAAAUAUGCUUUUACAA